rnacentral:rRNA from 1 species
GAGUUUGAUCAUGGCUCAGAUUGAACGCUGGCGGCAUGCCUUACACAUGCAAGUCGAACGGCAGCACGGGAGCUUGCUCCUGGUGGCGAGUGGCGAACGGGUGAGUAAUGCAUCGGAACGUAUCCUGGAGUGGGGGAUAACGUAGCGAAAGUUACGCUAAUACCGCAUAUUCUGUGAGCAGGAAAGCGGGGGACCUUCGGGCCUCGCGCUCUUGGAGCGGCCGAUGUCGGAUUAGCUAGUUGGUGAGGUAAAGGCUCACCAAGGCGACGAUCCGUAGCAGGUCUGAGAGGAUGAUCUGCCACACUGGAACUGAGACAGGUCCAGACUCCUACGGGAGGCAGCAGUGGGGAAUUUUGGACAAUGGGGGCAACCCUGAUCCAGCCAUGCCGCGUGAGUGAAGAAGGACCUCCGGGUUGUAAAGCUCUUUCGCGAGGGGAGAAAUUGCACCGGACAAUAACCUGGUGUAGAUGACGGUACCUUGAUAAGAAG